rnacentral:rRNA from 1 species
UACGUAGGGUCCGAGCGUUGUCCGGAAUUACUGGGCGUAAAGAGCUCGUAGGUGGUUUGUCGCGUUGUUCGUGAAAACUCACGGCUUAACUGUGGGCGUGCGGGCGAUACGGGCAGACUAGAGUACUGCAGGGGAGACUGGAAUUCCUGGUGUAGCGGUGGAAUGCGCAGAUAUCAGGAGGAACACCGGUGGCGAAGGCGGGUCUCUGGGCAGUCACUGACGCUGAGGAGCGAAAGCGUGGGGAGCGAACAGG